ACGUUCGGAAAGGAUAACCGCUGAAAGCAUCUAAGCGGGAAGCCUGCUUCGAGAUGAGUAUUCCCACCAACUUGAUUGGUUAAGGCUCCCAGUAGACGACUGGGUUGAUAGGCCAGAUGUGGAAGCCCGGUAACGGGUGGAGCUGACUGGUACUAAUAGGCCGAGGGCUUGUCCUCAGUUG
rnacentral:rRNA from 1 species